rnacentral:rRNA from 1 species
AGAGUUUGAUCAUGGCUCAGGAUGAACGCUGGCGGCGUGCCUAACACAUGCAAGUCGAACGGAAUUUACAUGAAGCCUAGCGAUUGUAAAUUUAGUGGCGGACGGGUGAGUAACGCGUGGGUAACCUGCCUUGUACUGGGGGACAACAGUUGGAAACGACUGCUAAUACCGCAUAAGCGCACAGCUUCGCAUGAAGCAGUGUGAAAAACUCCGGUGGUACAAGAUGGACCCGCGUCUGAUUAGCUGGUUGGUGAGGUAACGGCCCACCAAGGCGACGAUCAGUAGCCGGCCUGAGAGGGUGAACGGCCACAUUGGGACUGAGACACGGCCCAAACUCCUACGGGAGGCAGCAGUGGGGAAUAUUGCACAAUGGGGGAAACCCUGAUGCAGCAACGCCGCGUGAGUGAAGAAGUAUUUCGGUAUGUAAAGCUCUGUCAGCAGGAAAGAAAAUGACGGUACCUGACUAAGAAGCCCCGGCUAACUACGUGCCAGCAGCCGCGGUAAUACGUAGGGGGCAAGCGUUAUCCGGAUUUACUGGGUGUAAAGGGAGCGUAGACGGUUUUGCAAGUCUGAAGUGAAAG